UAUUUGCUUGUCUUCCUUAAGCCUCACAAAGGCUCUGUGUCCGGGUCUGUCAGCUGUUCAGCAGGAAUGAGUUUCCUCUUCCUCCUGGGCACAAAGCUAGACCACAUCUCCCGGGCUCCCUGGCAAUUUACUGUGGCCAUGAGGCUGAAUUAAAACCAGUGGAACGUUUGCAGAAGUGGUUGGUGCCAUUUCUGAGCCAAGCCUUUUAAGCAAUAGCUCCAUCUCCUCCCUGCUCUAUUUCUUCCUUUGCUGAUUAGAUGCGGAUGUAAGUGAGACCUCAGGGAAGGGGCGCUGCGUGAUUAAACAUAACGUAAUACAAACGGACCUGAGAUGCAGGAGAGCCACCCAUCGCCCGGAAACAACGCACAUAAGCAAGAGACAAACUUUUAUUCGGCUUGAGUAUUUUAUAUUCUGAGGUCUCUUUGAUACAGCUGCUAGCAUGACCCUGACUUCUAAGGCAUUUGAGUCGCUGGCCAUGAACGGGGGCGGCCCCAACAGACGUGUCUUCAUGAAACCCACAGGGAACAUUGCAGAGACGUAAUCCUUCCGCCUUUUCUUCCUUUCCCUUCUCAUUUUUCGUUUCUCAUUGGCUCCCUUCCUCUUUUUAGGUUUUAAUUGAUUAAUUGUUGGUCACGAGGGCUCUUCUUCUAAUCUUGUCACCUCCGCCCCCACCCCCAAACGUCCACGGAGGAAGACUGGGUUUGGAAAAAGUCACCAGGAAAGAUGUUCACGAAUUCACCGAGGAUGACAGUGAGGGUGAGACGGCAGCUUGGCGAAGGAUGUGCGGAGAUUAACGGGCGCUCUCAGCGAGAUGAGGUUUAUUUCCUCCGCCAGGAUGGGGAGAAGACACCGCGGCUCCUUAGGGAGGCCGGUGGGUUAAUUUCAGGAUUGUAGCGAGGACUAAAUGAAGUAACACACACGAAGACCUUAGACUACUGCCUGGUGAAUGGUGAAUGCCACGGGAUAUAUUCUCAGUCCUCAAGUGGGAACAUUUCCAAAUGCUCAGCGCUUUUUCUGGUGAUUGUCUCUAAGAAAAGAUGAAAUGCUGGUGCUUGUAGCUUCCUACUUGGUAAGAUAUCUUUUUCAUCUUUCUCUCCCCACCUAACUUUCAAUUGGGAAUAAUGUCUUGACAGACUUCAGUUAUGAAAAACAAGUAAAAGGAAAGGUUACAACUUUUCAGUCCUAGCUACCCCGAGUUACAAGGACACACGUGGUAUUUAAGAGAAGUUGUCGCGUGGGUGGGCAUAUGCCCAGUGACGUGUGACGAACUUGCUGAUCGCACCUAGUGAAUCAGUUGAUGUAAGAAAGGCACUCUAAUUUACUUGAAUAGACUGGGGCUUGUGUUGCUUUUGUGUGUGUGUGUGUGAGAGAGAGAGAGAGAGAGAAGUAGGCAUGCUGUUUCACAUAUAAGUGCACAUGUACUUGUCUUUUGGCCUCGAGCAGUGACGACUGCAGAAGACUCCGAGAUGACUGGAGAGCAUUCAGAAGCACCUCAAGGGCUUCAUUCCCGCUUGGUCUGAUUUCUCUUCACUCUGUGGCAAUUCAUCACCAGCCUGAGUCUGGCCAAGAUACAGCACAACAAGAGGUACCCAGACUGACCCCAGGGUGGGAAAAAGCUCUUCGUCACAGGCAGCUGUCUUUAAGAGAUAUCUCUUGGGAGAGGAAUGGCAUGGAUGCGGGACAGGAAAAGAAGCUGUUAAGACAGGCAGAAGCUGGAAGCUGCUUCCAGCCCAGGAGGAGACAGCCUCCACCCCUGCGAUCCAGAAAGGAGCACCCCCAGGGCUGUCUGUGGUCAAAGUAUGUGCUGCCCCCAUUCUGUCCAGUAUUUUCUUAUCUAUUACCUUAUUUGGCUUUUUGCAACAUCUUUGAAAGUGUUACAGGUCUGCAGUCCUUUAUUUGAAACCCUUAGGGCCAGAUAUUUUAGAUUUCCGAAUUUAUCAGAAUUUCCACAAGGGUUAUAAUACAGUUAUGUAUGUUAUGAAAUAGCCCUAGUAGGGUCUGGGACAACAUCAGACAUAUUAAUAUUUCAGUAAUGAGGAAUAUGGGUAUUCACAGGAAGGACAUAAAGGCUGCAAACAGCCUCAUCUCAGUCCAGCUUAGAUUUUUUUGCAGCCAAAUGAGUUAUAAAAAGCCAUUCAUGUCUCAGAGAUUUAUGGAGUUUGCAGCUGAAGAUAAGGGAUUAUGGCCUCAACUGUCCCCGUUUUAUAGAUGAGGAAACAGAAGUUCAGAGGCAUUCAGUGACAUAGCCAAUGUUAGUUUCAGAUUAUUUUAAAAUGUGAUGAUUAUAAGUAUUCCAACAUGAUCUAAAACAAUCCAAGUACUUAUUCUAACAUUUAUUCAGAGAGGGUUUUGUUCUGAGAGUUUUGAGUCCAUGGCAAAAAUGUUUUCUUCCAUCCCUGCCUCCCUGAAAGUCUAUUACAUCUUUGCCCAUGUUUCUCAAAAUGGAACCCUGGGAUUUUAGAUUCCUUCUUUGGUUCAGAUGAGUGAGUUCUCCAGAAUUCAUUCCGGUCUCAGUCAUGGAGCUGGUUAAAGGGACCACUUUCGUAAAACGGGUAAGUGUUUAUUGAAACAACUGUGUAUAAAGAGUGGUCCUGAGAAGGAAAAAAAUGUUCCAAGGGUCUUUCAGUGCUUCCCUGGCCCAAGUGCUAAGAGGAAUGGUCUUUGGAAAGCAACCAAAUAUAAACCACAUCCGGUGUACCUAGGUGUGACCGAAGUGGACUCUGACUUUUAAAGAACACUGUCCAAAUCAAAAUGUGCAACAAUGUUUAAAAGGAGCUUGCUGACACAUCUUGAAGCACCAAUUCUCUACCCACCAGCCACCUGUUCCUCAACAGUAAAUUACACUAUUUCGGUGCCUCAGCAAACUAGAUGGUGAUCUAUAACUCUGAACUGACUCAGAAAAAAAUCAGCAUUGCUGAACAAAUAAUGAGCUGAGCGUUAACCAGUCUAGUCUGGUCAGUUUCAGGCCCCUUCCUAACUUGCUAUGUUAUUGAUCAUGAUUGUGCUUACAAUCUUGAGUUUCAAUAAUUGUAGUUCCUUCUGGAUCUACAUGUGUGUAAAAGAAUUCAGAAACAGACACACAAAUCAUUGAAAAGGGCCCAUUGAAGCUCAACAUAUUUUACCGAGGUGCUGUGAUAUACUCUUCAAAGAACAACAUAGAAAUUCCAUAUAAUCACAAAUACGUAAAACCAGGUUAAUGGAAAAACAACCCACUAAUCCUAGAUUGCAAAGUGUGUGUGCACACGCAUGUGUGUAUAAUACAGUAUCUAUGUUUCUUUUUGUUUUAUGUCAGGUUUAUUGAGAUAUUAUUUAUAUGCGUAUUAAAUAUAAUUCAUCCAUUUUAGUGUACAGUGUUGUGAGUUUUGACAAAUGUAUACAUACAGUUGUGUAACUACCAUCAUGAUAAAAAUUACUUCAGUUCCGUAACCCUGAAAAUUUUCCUCCUGUCCCUUUGGAUCUGACACCCAAUUCCCACCCCCACCCCUAAACCCUGGCAACCAUUGAUCUGUUUUCUGUCCCUUGCUUUUCUCAAGAAUGUCAUAUAAAU